CAGUCGCCGCGGGAAUACGAAGGGGGCUAGCGUUGUUCGGAUUUACUGGGCGUAAAGGGCGCGUAGGCGGACUGAUAAGUCAGGGGUGAAAUCCCAAGGCUCAACCUUGGAACUGCCUUUGAUACUGGGUAUCUUGAGUAUGGAAGAGGUGAGUGGAAUUCCGAGUGCAGAGGUGAAAUUCGUAGAUAUACGGAGGAACAUCAGUGGCGAAGGCGGCUCACUGGUCCAUUACUGACGCUGAGGUGCGAAAGCGUGGGGAGCAAACAGGAUUAGAUACCCCAGUAGUCCCUGUCUCUUAUAC
rnacentral:rRNA from 1 species